GAUCGUAUAUUAAAGGGCCGCGGUAUUUUGACCGUGCAAAGGUAGCAUAGUCGUUAGGUUUUUAAUUGAGAUCUUGUAUGAAAGGUUCCACAAGGAAGGUUCUGUCUCUAUAUUUAAUAAUUGAAAUUGACUUUUAAGUGAAAAGGCUUAAAUGAUUUAAAAAGACGAUAAGACCCUAUAAAACUUUAUAUAAAUAAUCUCAUUUGGUUAAAUUAUUUGAAAUUAUAAAAGCCUAAUAAGGGUUUAAUAUUAUGUAGGGGCGAUAUAAAUAAAAUGUUUGCAAGCUGUUUUAGAGUAAAACACAUAUAGGUGGGCGAAAUAAAUGAUCCUAGUUAGAGAUUAAAAGUUAAAGUUACUUAAGGGAUAACAGCCUUAUUUUUUUUGAGAGUUCUUUUGGCAAAAAAAGUUUGCGCCCUCGAUGUUGAAUUAAAGUGUCUGUAUAAUUGUAGGAGUUAUAUUAGAAGGUCUGUUCGAACUUUAAAUCUUUACAUGAUUUGAGUUCAAACCGG
rnacentral:rRNA from 1 species